UGAGGAAUAUUGGACAAUGGGCGCAAGCCUGAUCCAGCAAUGCCGCGUGCAGGAUGAAGGCCUUCGGGUUGUAAACUGCUUUUGUACGGAGCGAAAAGGUCUGCCCUAAUACGGUGGGCUCAUGACGGUACCGUAAGAAUAAGCACCGGCUAACUACGUGCCAGCAGCCGCGGUAAUACGUAGGGUGCGAGCGUUAAUCGGAAUUACUGGGCGUAAAGCGUGCGCAGGCAGUUAUAUAAGACAGAUGUGAAAUCCCCGGGCUCAACCUGGGACCUGCAUUUGUGACUGUAUAGCUAGAGUACGGUAGAGGGGGAUGGAAUUCCGCGUGUAGCAGUGAAAUGCGUAGAUAUGCGGAGGAACACCGAUGGCGAAGGCAAUCCCCUGGACCUGUACUGACGCUCAUGCACGAAAGCGUGGGGAGCAAACA
rnacentral:rRNA from 1 species